rnacentral:tRNA from 1 species
GCCUUCGUAGUGUAGUGGUCAGCACGCUGGAUGCGUAUUCCAGAGGUCCGCGGUUCGAUUCCCGGCGAAGGCG